GACCAAUGAUGAGUAUCCUGGGGUGUCUGAAUCAAUGAUUUUGAUUAAACCCUAUAACUCUGAGGUCAGAAACCUAGUUAAUGCCUAUAUGGUUAAUCAGCUUACAGCAGAGAAUAACUGUAAGACAGCAGACUUUACUCAUUUUCUAAGAAACAACAUCUUGGCAGUUAGCUCUGUGUGUAAAGACCGUAGACAGAAAUAAUGAACACAAAGCCGAUUUAAUCAUU